rnacentral:rRNA from 1 species
AUUGAACGCUGGCGGCAGGCCUAACACAUGCCAUUCGAGCGAGCGGCGGACGGGUGAGUAAUGUAUGGGGACUGCCCGAUAGAGGGGGAUACCUACUGGAAACGGUAGCUAAUACCGCAUACUAUCGGAUAACCCAUAUGGGAUUAGCUCGUAGGUGAGGUAAUGGCUCACCUAGGCGACGAUCCCUAGCUGGUCUGAGAGGAUGAUCAGCCACAAGGGGACGGAGACACGGCCCAGACUCCGACGGAGGCAGCAGUGGGGAAUAUUGAACAAUGGGCGCAAGCCUGAUGCAGCCAUGCCGCGUGUAUGAAGAAUGCGCUAUGGUUGUAAAGUACUUUCAGUCGGGAGGCGUUACCGACAGAAGAAGCACCGGCUAACUCCGUGCCAGCAGCCGCGGUAAUUC